rnacentral:rRNA from 1 species
GCCCCAGCAGCUAGCCCACCUUUUAAAUUCAACAAACCUUAUUAAUAACCCCACAAUAACUGCAAAUACAUGAUUAAACCAUUCUUUUUCCCCAGUAUAGGAGAUAGAAAAGGACACCUAGGCGCGAUAGAACAGUACCGCAAGGGAAAGCCGAAAGAGAGAUGAAAGAGCCCAGUAAAGGCGACAGAAGCAGAGGUUAGCCCUCGUACCUUUUGCAUCAUGACUUAGCCAGUAACCCUUGAGCAAAAGGGCAUUUUACGUUCAAGCCCCCGAAACUAAGCGAGCUACUCCGAAACAGCCUUUCCGAGGGCAAACCCGUCUCUGUGGCAAAAGAGUGGGAAGAUUUCCGAGUAGAGGUGACAGACCUACCGAGCCUAGUGAUAGCUGGUUUCCUGAGAAAAGAAUAGAAGUUCAGCCCCCUGGCUCCUCAAGCCAACUAAGGUCUCCCCUUCCCCGGGCCCGAAGGACACCAAGGGAGUUAUUCAAAAGAGGGACAGCUCUCUUGAAAGAAGAAACAACUUUAAAUAGAAGGUUAAAGAUCACACAACUAAAGGCAGAGUACCCAAGUGGGCCUAAAAGCAGCCACCCUAGUAGACAGCGUUAAAGCUCAAGUGCCAGCCCCCCUAUGAUCCCGAAUACAACAUCUUAUGCCUCUUAACCUAACAGGACCCCCCAUGCACCCAUGGGGAAGAUACUGCUAACAUGAGUAAUAAGAGAGCAAGACUCUCUCGAAAGCAUCCGUGUACAUCAGACCGAACCCCCACUGAACAUUAACGCCCCCAAAAACAGAGGGUAACAGGACAGUUUAAGCAAAGCUAGAAAACCUCCCCGGAAACAGCGUUAACCCCACACAGGAAUGCGCCCUCGAAAGACAUAAUAAGAGAGAAGGAACUCGGCAAACCAUGGCCUCGCCUGUUUACCAAAAACAUCGCCUCUUGCCCCCAAAAUAUAAGAGGUCCCGCCUGCCCUGUGACGAAAGUUUAACGGCCGCGGUAUUUUGACCGUGCGAAGGUAGCGUAAUCACUUGUCUUUUAAAUAGAGACCUGUAUGAAUGGCAUAACGAGGGCUAAGCUGUCUCCUUUCUUUAGUCAAUGAAAUUGAUCUCCCCGUGCAGAAGCGGGGCUAACUACAUAAGACGAGAAGACCCUAUGGAGCUUCAGACUACGGGCAGAUCACGUUAAAGCACCCCCAUCACCGGGACAAAACCAAGUGACCCCUGGCCCCUCUGUCUUUGGUUGGGGCGACCGCGGGGUAACAAUCAACCCCCACGUGGAAAGGAAACACAACCUUAACGCCAGAGCCACAGCUCUAGUUAGCAGAAACUCUGACCAUAAGAUCCGGCAAGACCGAUCAACGGACCCAGUUACCCUAGGGAUAACAGCGCAAUCCCCUUAUAGAGCCCAUAUCGACAAGGGGGUUUACGACCUCGAUGUUGGAUCAGGACCUCCUAAUGGUGCAGCCGCUAUUAAGGGUUCGUUUGUUCAACGAUUAAAGUCCUACGUGAUCUGAGUUCAGACCGGAGAAAUCCAGGUCAGUUUCUAUCUAUGAUUAUACUCUUUUCUAGUACGAAAGGACCGGAAAGAGGGGGCCCAUGCUUUAAGCACGCCCCGCCCCCACCUGAUGACACCGUCUAAAUCAGGUAACGGGGGGAACUCUACCGCCUGAGAUUAAGGCUA